rnacentral:rRNA from 1 species
UACGUAGGGUGCAAGCGUUGUCCGGAACUAUUGGGCGUAAAGAGCUCGUAGGCGGUUUGUCGCGUCUGCUGUGAAAACCCGAGGCUCAACCUCGGGCCUGCAGUGGGUACGGGCAGACUAGAGUGCGGUAGGGGAGAUUGGAAUUCCUGGUGUAGCGGUGGAAUGCGCAGAUAUCAGGAGGAACACCAAUGGCGAAGGCAGAUCUCUGGGCCGUAACUGACGCUGAGGAGCGAAAGCAUGGUGAGCGAACAGG